rnacentral:rRNA from 1 species
GGAUGAACGCUGGCGGCGUGCUUAACACAUGCAAGUCGAACGGAAAGGCYYCUGCUUGCAGGRGUACUCGAGUGGCGAACGGGUGAGUAACACGUGGGUGAUCUGCCCUGCACUUCGGGAUAAGCCUGGGAAACUGGGUCUAAUACCGGAUAGGACGAUGGUUUGGAUGCCAUUGUGGAAAGUUUUUCGGUGUGGGAUGAGCUCGCGGCCUAUCAGCUUGUUGGUGGGGUAAUGGCCUACCAAGGCGUCGACGGGUAGCCGGCCUGAGAGGGUGUACGGCCACAUUGGGACUGAGAUACGGCCCAGACUCCUACGGGAGGCAGCAGUGGGGAAUAUUGCACAAUGGGCGCAAGCCUGAUGCAGCGACGCCGCGUGGGGGAUGACGGCCUUCGGGUUGUAAACUCCUUUCGCUAGGGACGAAGCGCAAGUGACGGUACCUGGAGAAGAAGCACCGGCUAACUAC